CUACGGAGGGUGCAAGCGUUGUUCGGAAUCACUGGGCAUAAAGAGCACGUAGGCGGUCUGUUAAGUUAGAUGUGAAAUCCCUCGGCUCAACCGGGGAACUGCAUUUGAUACUGACAGGCUAGAGGGCGGUAGGGGUGAGUGGAACUCCAGGUGGAGCGGUGAAAUGCGUAGAUAUCUGGAGGAACACCUGUGGCGAAAGCGACUCACUGGACCGUCUCUGACGCUGAGGUGCGAAAGCUAGGGUAGCGAACGGGAUUAGAAACCCUAGUAGUCC
rnacentral:rRNA from 1 species